rnacentral:rRNA from 1 species
UACGAAGGGGGCUAGCGUUGCUCGGAAUUACUGGGCGUAAAGCGCACGUAGGCGGAUUGUUAAGUCGGGGGGUGAAAUCCUGGAGCUCAACUCCAGAACUGCCUUCGAUACUGGCGAUCGUCGAGUUCGGGAGAGGUGAGUGGAACUGCGAGUGUAGAGGUGAAAUUCGUAGAUAUUCGCAAGAACACCAGUGGCGAAGGCGGCUCACU